rnacentral:rRNA from 1 species
CCAGACUCCUACGGGAGGCAGCAGUGGGGAAUAUUGCACAAUGGGGGGAACCCUGAUGCAGCGACGCCGCGUGGGCGAGGAAGUAUUUCGGUAUGUAAAGCCCUAUCGGCAGGGAAGAAGAAAUGACGGUACCUGAAUAAGAAGCACCGGCUAAAUACGUGCCAGCAGCCGCGGUAAUACGUAUGGUGCAAGCGUUAUCCGGAUUUACUGGGUGUAAAGGGAGCGUAGGCGGUUUAGCAAGUCAGAAGUGAAAGCCCGGGGCUCAACUCCGGGACUGCUUUUGAAACUGUUGAACUAGAUUGCAGGAGAGGUAAGUGGAAUUCCUAGUGUAGCGGUGAAAUGCGUAGAUAUUAGGAGGAACACCAGUGGCGAAGGCGGCUUACUGGACUGUAAAUGACGCUGAGGCUCGAAAGCGUGGGGAGCAAACAGGAUUAGAUACCCCAGUAA